rnacentral:rRNA from 1 species
GGUUAAGUGAAUAAGGGCGCACGGUGGAUGCCUUGGCACUAGGAGCCGAUGAAGGACGGGACUAACACCGAUAUGCUUUGGGGAGCUGUAAGUAAGCUAUGAUCCAGAGAUUUCCGAAUGGGGGAACCCAAUAUCUUUUAUAGGAUAUUACUUUUCAGUGAAUACAUAGCUGAUUAGAGGUAGACGCAGAGAACUGAAACAUCUUAGUACCUGCAGGAAGAGAAAGAAAAUUCGAUUCCCUGAGUAGCGGCGAGCGAAACGGGAAGAGCCCAAACCAACAAGCUUGCUUGUUGGGGUUGUAGGACUCCAAUAUGGUAGUCUGUUAGUAUAGUUGAAGGAUUUGGAAAAUUCCGCUAAAGAGGGUGAAAGCCCCGUAGACGAAAUGCUGACAACACCUAGGAGGAUCCUGAGUACGGCGGAACACGAGAAAUUCCGUCGGAAUCCGCGGGGACCAUCCCGCAAGGCUAAAUACUCCCUAGUGACCGAUAGUGAACCAGUACCGUGAGGGAAAGGUGAAAAGCACCCCGGAAGGGGAGUGAAAUAGAUCCUGAAACCGUGUGCCUACAACAAGUCAAAGCUCGUUAAUGAGUGAUGGCGUGCCUUUUGUAGAAUGAACCGGCGAGUUACGAUUGCAUGCGAGGUUAAGUCGAAGAGACGGAGCCGCAGCGAAAGCGAGUCUGAAUAGGGCGAAUGAGUAUGUAGUCGUAGACCCGAAACCAUGUGAUCUACCCAUGUCCAGGUUGAAGGUGCGGUAAAACGCACUGGAGGACCGAACCCACGUACGUUGAAAAGUGCGGGGAUGAGGUGUGGGUAGCGGAGAAAUUCCAAACGAACUUGGAGAUAGCUGGUUCUCUCCGAAAUAGCUUUAGGGCUAGCCUCGGAAUUGAGAAUGAUGGAGGUAGAGCACUGUUUGGACUAGGGGCCCAUCUCGGGUUACCGAAUUCAGAUAAACUCCGAAUGCCAUUCAUUUAUAUCCGGGAGUCAGACUGCGAGUGAUAAGAUCCGUAGUCGAAAGGGAAACAGCCCAGACCACCAGCUAAGGUCCCAAAAUAUAUGUUAAGUGGAAAAGGAUGUGGGGUUGCACAGACAACUAGGAUGUUGGCUUAGAAGCAGCCA